CACAUGCAAGUCGAACGAUGAUAGAAGAGCUUGCUUUUCUUGAUUAGUGGCGCACGGGUGAGUAAUGCAUAGAUAAUGUGCCCCCUUAGUUCGGGAUAGCCACUGGAAACGGUGAUUAAUACCGGAUACUCCUUCUUGUUAUAAGACAAGUCGGGAAAGUUUUUCGCUAAGGGAUCAGUCUAUGUUCCAUCAGCUUGUUGGUGAGGUAAUGGCUCACCAAGGCUAUGACGGAUAUCUGGCUUGAGAGGAUGAUCAGACACACUGGAACUGAGACACGGUCCAGACUCCUACGGGAGGCAGCAGUGAGGAAUAUUGCACAAUGGAGGAGACUCUGAUGCAGCAACGCCGCGUGGAGGAUGACGCAUUUCGGUGUGUAAACUCCUUUUAUUAGGGAAGAUAAUGACGGUACCUAAUGAAUAAGCACCGGCUAACUCCGUGCCAGCAGCCGCGGUAAUACGGAGGGUGCAAGCGUUACUCGGAAUCACUGGGCGUAAAGGGUGCGUAGGCUGGCUUUUAAGUCAGAUGUGAAAUCCAAUGGCUCAACCAUUGAACUGCAUUUGAAACUGAAAGCCUAGAGUUCAGAAGGGGCAGAUGGAAUUAGUGGUGUAGGGGUAAAAUCACAUGCAAGUCGAACGAUGAUAGAAGAGCUUGCUUUUCUUGAUUAGUGGCGCACGGGUGAGUAAUGCAUAGAUAAUGUGCCCCCUUAGUUCGGGAUAGCCACUGGAAACGGUGAUUAAUACCGGAUACUCCUUCUUGUUAUAAGACAAGUCGGGAAAGUUUUUCGCUAAGGGAUCAGUCUAUGUUCCAUCAGCUUGUUGGUGAGGUAAUGGCUCACCAAGGCUAUGACGGAUAUCUGGCUUGAGAGGAUGAUCAGACACACUGGAACUGAGACACGGUCCAGACUCCUACGGGAGGCAGCAGUGAGGAAUAUUGCACAAUGGAGGAGACUCUGAUGCAGCAACGCCGCGUGGAGGAUGACGCAUUUCGGUGUGUAAACUCCUUUUAUUAGGGAAGAUAAUGACGGUACCUAAUGAAUAAGCACCGGCUAACUCCGUGCCAGCAGCCGCGGUAAUACGGAGGGUGCAAGCGUUACUCGGAAUCACUGGGCGUAAAGGGUGCGUAGGCUGGCUUUUAAGUCAGAUGUGAAAUCCAAUGGCUCAACCAUUGAACUGCAUUUGAAACUGAAAGCCUAGAGUUCAGAAGGGGCAGAUGGAAUUAGUGGUGUAGGGGUAAAAU
rnacentral:rRNA from 1 species